rnacentral:rRNA from 1 species
AGGGUUGAUAGGUUAAGAGCUGGUUGAUUGGACGUUACCCACAGAAGAAGCACCGGCUAACUCCGUGCCAGCAGCCGCGGUAAUACGGAGGGUGCGAGCGUUAAUCGGAAUUACUGGGCGUAAAGGGUGCGUAGGUGGUUUAAUAAGUUAGCUGUGAAAUCCCCGGGCUUAACCUGGGCAGGUCAGCUAAGACUGUUAGACUCGAGUAUGGGAGAGGGUAGUGGAAUUUCCGGUGUAGCGGUGAAAUGCGUAGAGAUCGGAAGGAACACCAGUGGCGAAGGCGGCUACCUGGCCUGAUACUGACACUGAGGCACGAAAGCGUGGGGAGCAAACAGGAUUAGGAUACCCUGGUAGUCCACCGCUGUAAACGAUGUCAACUAGCUGUUGG